rnacentral:rRNA from 1 species
GACGAACGCUGGCGGCGUGCUUAACACAUGCAAGUCGAACGAUGAAGCCCAGCUUGCUGGGUGGAUUAGUGGCGAACGGGUGAGUAACACGUGAGUAACCUGCCCUUGACUCUGGGAUAAGCGCUGGAAACGGCGUCUAAUACCGGAUACGACCUGCCCCGGCAUCGGGUGCGGGUGGAAAGUUUUUCGGUCAAGGAUGGACUCGCGGCCUAUCAGCUUGUUGGUGAGGUAAUGGCUCACCAAGGCGACGACGGGUAGCCGGCCUGAGAGGGUGACCGGCCACACUGGGACUGAGACACGGCCCAGACUCCUACGGGAGGCAGCAGUGGGGAAUAUUGCACAAUGGGCGAAAGCCUGAUGCAGCAACGCCGCGUGGGGGAUGACGGCCUUCGGGUUGUAAACCUCUUUUAGUAGGGAAGAAGGACUUCGGUUUGACGGUACCUGCAGAAAAAGCACCGGCUAACUACGUGCCAGCAGCCGCGGUAAUACGUAGGGUGCAAGCGUUGUCCGGAAUUAUUGGGCGUAAAGAGCUCGUAGGCGGUUUGUCGCGUCUGCUGUGAAAACCCGAGGCUCAACCUCGGGCCUGCAGUGGGUACGGGCAGACUAGAGUGCGGUAGGGGAGAAUGGAAUUCCUGGUGUAGCGGUGGAAUGCGCAGAUAUCAGGAGGAACACCGAUGGCGAAGGCAGUUCUCUGGGCCGUUACUGACGCUGAGGAGCGAAAGCGUGGGGAGCGAACAGGAUUAGAUACCCUGGUAGUCCACGCCGUAAACGUUGGGAACUAGAUGUGGGGACCUUUCCACGGUCUCCGUGUCGCAGCUAACGCAUUAAGUUCCCCGCCUGGGGAGUACGGCCGCAAGGCUAAAACUCAAAGGAAUUGACGGGGGCCCGCACAAGCGGCGGAGCAUGCGGAUUAAUUCGAUGCAACGCGAAGAACCUUACCAAGGCUUGACAUAUACCGGAAACUUCCAGAAAUGGUUGCCCCGCAAGGUCGGUAUACAGGUGGUGCAUGGUUGUCGUCAGCUCGUGUCGUGAGAUGUUGGGUUAAGUCCCGCAACGAGCGCAACCCUCGUUCUAUGUUGCCAGCACGUCAUGGUGGGAACUCAUAGGAGACUGCCGGGGUCAACUCGGAGGAAGGUGGGGAUGACGUCAAAUCAUCAUGCCCCUUAUGUCUUGGGCUUCACGCCUGCUACAAUGGCCGGUACAAAGGGCUGCGAUACCGUAAGGUGGAGCGAAUCCCAAAAAGCCGGUCUCAGUUCGGAUUGAGGUCUGCAACUCGACCUCAUGAAGUCGGAGUCGCUAGUAAUCGCAGAUCAGCAACGCUGCGGUGAAUACGUUCCCGGGCCU